GGCCACACGGGAUAAUCGAUUAUCCCGUGCGGUUGUGUUAUACCGACCAUACAGGAUAAUUGAUUAUCAUGUGAGGUC
rnacentral:pre_miRNA from 11 species